UCUCUUCUUUUGACACAAUCGACGAAGCCUAGUGUCGACUGUAUUUUCUCUCUCUUCUCCUCACAACGGUGAAGCCUAGUAUCAACUAUAUUUUCUCUCUCUUCCUCAAGCACAGUCGACGAAGCCUAGCAUCGACUGUAUCUUCUCUCUCCUCAUCUCUAUAUAACACAGUCGGUGAAGCCUAGUGCCGAUUGCAUUUUCUCUCUCUUUCUUCUAACACGGCCUGCAAUGCUUAGUGCCGAUUGCGUCUUCCUGCCCUCUCUCUCUUUUAUUCUCUCGCCAUUCAUACUCUUCUCUUCCUUUCUUCUCCCUCCCUCCUUAUGUUCCCUUCUUGUAUUAAUUCACUUCUUAUUCUUUCUUCAUAACCAUCAUUAUGUUACUCUUUCAUUUGACUAAGAGGCAUUGAGGUUAGACUCUCACGAUAGUCCUGUCGUCUAGCCAUAAUGAUGUUGUGCCAUGAUUACUUGGCCCACUUUAUUACCACGACAGACUAACCAUUGUGCCUAGCUAGUUGGUACUGGUAAUGAUGAUUAGUAGUAAUCAUGUGAGCCGGUCUUAGUUACCAAACCCGUUUUACUACCACGUCAGGCCAAUUAUUCAUCAGCUUAGUCGCCGCUCUGAUCCUUCCGCUCAGUGAAAUUCUUC
rnacentral:lncRNA from 1 species